GGACCUUUUGAAUCAUGAUCAUCUGUUUUACCACUACACUACUUCACAUCCGCUAGGGAGGUGCGAAUCAAAGCAGAACACUUUCUACCACCUGUCAUCUAUAUUUAAUUUCAUGGCCAAUGCACUCAUUAUCAAAUCAACAGUUUUUCACUUUGGACCGUACUGCUUUUAACAGUGGUGCAAAUUGAAGUGAUUUUUAGUUGAUUUCCCCGGUGGGUUUGUUUUGGUUCUCAAAUCAACACUGACAGAUUUGCGAAUUUAAGGGAAAAGCAUUUCCGAUCAUGUUGAUUGGGAUGUUGAGUAGUUGAGGGAUUUUUCCCUUGAAUCGAGCGUGCAGAAUUUUUACCGUGUACAGAAGUUGAACAUGUGUCAAGUUUGUGGGAAGACGGAGUGUCGAAUUACCCUUUGCCGUCAUCAGUAACUUGGAAGAAUAUCGUCAGUUUUUCUUGGUGGUCAAUUACGCGUCGUGAUAUACGCAAAACAAAACAACGAACUUAUUUCUUUGACCUGGAAUGAUUCAAGACGAUCAAACCGUUUCCGGAGAUUUGACAAUAUAAUACAGUGCAGUGUUGUCUGAAUUUUGAAAGAAAGCAGCAUUCAAACAUAAUGCGCUCUCGGUUUGCAUUUUUCUUUUUUUGGCGGUGUCUUUGUUUUGCUGAAGUCGAUGAAAAUACAGCCUCUGUCGAAUACAACUUCUGCAACUUAACAUCAAUUGAGAUCAACGAUUUACCGAGCCCUGUAUCCGAGAUUACAUAUCUUUCACUGCGAGGAAACAACCUCGACGGGUUUCCCAGCGAUAUUUCGAAACUGUCGAGCCUGGAAAGGUUGAUUCUGUCCGAGAAUCCCCAAAUAACAUUUCCUGCCGAUGGAACUCCAUUCCUGAUAUCUAGCAGCUUAAUCGACUUGGACUGCGAAUGCUGUGAUAUAAAAGCAAUUUUGAAUCGCUCAUUGCGCAGAUUGCCUCUACUGGAGACCCUCCGAUUGUCAAACAAUAGCAUUCAGAUGAUCGAGAAACGUGCCUUCCGGAACAAUCCUAACAUCUGUGUGCUGGACUUCAGACACAACAAUCUAACGACUCUACCGAUCACAAUACUGGUUGGUCUGCAAAAAAUAAAGAAGCUUGAUCUGAGUGGCAACCGAGACCUUGCACCGCAGAAAGACCAACCGUUUCUGGUGAGCAGCUCGCUGAAGAUUCUGAAAUGCAACAACUGUGGAUUCAGCACUACGCAGGUAGUGACAUUCUCUAAACUUCCCAAUCUCAAGGAAUUGCACCUCGCAGAGAAUAGACUACUGGUGGCACCAUGCUUGCUCCCAUCUUUGACAGCGUUGGGGGUUCAUUCGAUGAAAGUAAUCACUGUUUACCAUCGGUGUUUGAAAAGGAACUUUCCAUUUGUUAAACUUCAAAAUUAGUACAACAUUAGGCCAACAGCAAAGCUAAAGAUGCAAGUACACAGGGUCAAAUAUUUGACCAAAAGAAACCAAUGCUCAAACAUCUUGUUUGUCUCGAUCGAAUUUUCAUUAGUGUAAAAGAGAUGUUUUUCUUGAGUUCAUCCCUUGUCCACACAGAUCGAAAAAAUAGAGUUUUAGAAUUUAUUUUAACUUCGCUGUUUGUCUAAACACGUACUAAAAUUAAAAAAUAAUGCGCAUUACGUUAACCCAUGGAAAGCAUACUUAUAAAGAAAAAUAUUGUCUAUCCGGUUGGAAUCAAGACCGGCAUUCAAUCGAAAAUUGCCAUUUUCUUGGCCCAACAGUGUCGCAACUGUUUCGCAUCUAGUGCGCUGUGUUGCUGACAACAACGGGAAGGAUGCGCACUACUUUUGACAUUAAAUAUUAAAAAACGUCGCGAGUUGGGUCGCGUCGCGACUUGAUUGUGCGAAGUCCGGUUUGGUGGCGGCCCGACAAUAAAUAAAAGCGCGCGAUUGCAUCGAAUCGAGUUGGGUCUUCAGUGCCCUAUUUCUUUAAUCUAUGCAG